GGACCGGGUCGCCAACCGUGGUGCAGAGUUCGCCGUCGAUCGACACCGCCGCCUCGCCGAUCCAUCCGCCCUUCCACUCCACGGCGCGAAAUAGCCUUCAAUCGCUUCCUCCGAGGCUUUCUCUGCGAGCUUCGGCCUUCUCCCAUUUCUCACCCUCGCCGAGCUUAGCGCCGCUUCCGUCGAUUCCAGGACUCGUUGUACACCUGAGAAUGAUGGCGGGAGCAAGAAGCAGCAAAAGUCGACGACUUUGUAGGGCUGGCUGAGGCAUCGGCUCUCGGCGCAGAUACCUGUGGAAGCUGGGGCGCUUGCAAGAGAUUGCGAAAUAAAGGAAAAAGCUGGAUGAGCUAAAGGAGCAGCAGGAGAGGCAAGGAGAUGUGUGUGGCGG